UGGGGAAUAUUGGACAAUGGGCGCAAGCCUGAUCCAGCAAUGCCGCGUGUGUGAAGAAGGCCUUCGGGUUGUAAAGCACUUUCAUUGAGGAGGAAAAGCUGUGCGUUAAUAGCGUACAGCCGUGACGUUACUCAAAGAAGAAGCACCGGCUAACUCCGUGCCAGCAGCCGCGGUAAUACGGAGGGUGCAAGCGUUAAUCGGAAUUACUGGGCGUAAAGCGCGCGUAGGCGGUUUAUUAAGUCAGAUGUGAAAUCCCCGGGCUCAACCUGGGAACUGCAUUUGAUACUGGUAGGCUAGAGUGUGGUAGAGGUGAGUGGAAUUUCAGGUGUAGCGGUGAAAUGCGUAGAGAUCUGAAGGAACAUCAGUGGCGAAGGCGACUCACUGGGCCAUUACUGACGCUGAGGUGCGAAAGCGUGGGUAGCAAACAGGAUUAGAUACCCU
rnacentral:rRNA from 1 species